rnacentral:lncRNA from 1 species
UUUUUGAAAUAUAUUGCUGCCAUGUUAGUUAAGUGUGUAGGAUAUGGAUGUUGGGAAGUGUUAUAAAUGGUAGUUUGACUGAUAUUGAAAUAUUGUUUUUAUUUGCAGGUUUAUGAUUUUACAUGUUGUUUUGGCUUGGAUACGGUUAAUGGAGCACAUCAGAUGGCUUGGAAUUGACUUGACUUUAUUGGAUGUUUGGAAUUUAUUGCUGUAAUUUGGAAUUGUAUUGAAAU